rnacentral:rRNA from 1 species
AGUGAACGCUGGCGGUAGGCCUAACACAUGCAAGUCGAACGGCAGCACAGUAAGAGCUUGCUCUUACGGGUGGCGAGUGGCGUACGGGUGAGGAAUACAUCGGAAUCUACUUUUUCGUGGGGGAUAACGUAGGUAAACUUACGCUAAUACCGCAUACGACCUACGGGUGAAAGCAUGGGAUCUUCGGACCUUGCGCGAUUGAAUGAGCCGAUGUCGGAUUAGCUAGUUGGCGGGGUAAAGGCCCACCAAGGCGACGAUCCGUAGCUGGUCUGAGAGGAUGAUAGGCCACACUGGAAGUGAGACAGGGACCAGACUCCUACGGGAGGCAGCAGUGGGGAAUAUUGGACAAUGGGCGCAAGCCUGAUACAGCCAUGCCGAGUGGGUGAAGAAGGCCUUCGGGUUGUAAAGCCCUUUUGUUGGGAAAGAAAAGCAGCAGGUUAAUACCACGCUGUUCUGACGGUACCCAAAGAAUAAGCACCGGCUAACUUCGUG